GUGUCAUCCGCCGCGGUAAUACGAAGGGGGCUAGCGUUGCUCGGAAUCACUGGGCGUAAAGCGCACGUAGGCGGGCUCUUAAGUCGGUGGUGAAAUCCUGGAGCUCAACUCCAGAACUGCCUCCGAUACUGAGAGUCUUCGAGUCCGGGAGAGGUGAGUGGAACUGCGAGUGUAGAGGUGAAAUUCGUAGAUAUUCGCAAGAACACCAGUGGCGAAGGCGGCUCACUGGCCCGGUACUGACGCUGAGGUGCGAAAGCGUGGGGAGCAAACAGGAUUAGAAACCCCCGUAGUCC
rnacentral:rRNA from 1 species